rnacentral:sRNA from 1 species
AUGUUUCAUGUUGAUGGUGGGGAAGUUAACAAGGAUAGAGGUUCCUUUCCUAAUAUAACGAAGGUGCAAACUAUGGAUAAGGCAGAGAAAUUGGUACAUCUCGAUUUUGAUGGAGACAACUUAUUUAGCAUACCUAUCCUUUAUGUAGGGUCCACCAAAAUCCCUAACCCAUGGGAACAUGCAACCAUGGAACAAGCACAUGAUGCCAUAAGUGUGAAAUGGGUAGUGCAAAACGCUGAAGGCAAAUCUAAAACAACAACAUGGAAGAGAGUUGAAUGCAAGGUGGGGAAUACACAGUCUAGACUAAAACAGGGAAAAUAGUAGGGAUCGAAGGAAGCAAGAGGGAACAAAUACAGGAUGUCAAUACCAUUUUUCUUAAUAAAAUGACAAGAAUGAUUAAAAGAACAUAGCACCAAACUUUCUCAAAAUAUUUCAACAUGAAACUACAUACUAUAUACUAUGAGCUUUCAAAACACUAUUACAAAAUCUGAAAAUCCAAUCCAAGGCCAUAUGACAAGCCACCAUAAAGAUUUUAUGCCACGAAUACAUUAGUUAUGCCACAAAGACAUCAAAUUAUGCCUCGAAGACAUUAGUUUAUGCCAUGAAGAUAUUAGUUAUGCCACAAAGACAUCAAGUUAUGCCAUAAAGAUAUCAAAUUAUUCCACGAAGACAUCAAAUUGCCACAAAGACGGGGUGCCAAGAUACCAAUCUCACAAAGACUACGGCAUUUGGCUGGGGUAAUCACACCUAUCAUGGCACAAGGGUAAAGACAACAUAAAGCUCACAGCUAAAUAAAAUUGAAACUCACAAUUCAUUUCCAAGUAGUUCAUAAAACUUUAUAAUAUCCAAGCAUUUCACAAAGUUCCCACAUUGUUCAAAAUCAUUUCUUGUCAACAAGAUGUUUUUUCAAUUUCCCAAAUUAUACAAGUUUAGAUAACACAUCUUUAGUAUUUCUAAAUAAUACCAUAAAUUCAAGAAAUACAUUAUCAAAAGAAUUCAAAGAUGCUUAUCUUUUUCUAUGCCAAAUACUCAUCAUACAUUUCCCCAUAUGCAACAUUAAACAUGACUUGCUUUCAUAUAUAAUCAUAUAUAGUAAGGUCACAACACAACACUUUUUAAGAAAACAUAGUUCCAAAAAUAAUUUUCCAAAAUGUGUUUGACCCAAAAACAAUGUUAUGCAACAUGGUUAUUUUCUAAAAAUCAUAUUAAAAAGCUACUUACCUUGCAACCCGCAAAAAGCCUAAUUCUCCAAGCUCCAAAGGAGAUUAGCUAGAACCUGAACAAUACAAAGCAAACUUAUCAUGAUAAAUAUCAAGCUUGAUAUUGCAUCUAGCUACAAAUUAGAAAUCACUAAAUAAGAAAUUACUUAGGCAAGCCGAAAUAUUUAACCUCACAAGUAAUGUCUUCCACUUCCAAAGUUUCUCAACAAUUUAAUUUACAAGUGAAUGUUCAAAUAGCGUUGAAAACACUAUGAACGUUUAGACCCCCAAAAUACAAAUUACCAAUUCAAGCUUUAUAUCAAACAAUGUAUGUGCGAAAAAUGAUUAUAAGCUUAUACUAGAAUUGAUAAACAAUCUAUACCAAAUAAAAUCACAUCCACAGCAGAAAUUAAAUGGCAAAGAUUAAGGGAAGAGAGAUGCAAACACAAAGACAACACAACGAUGUGUUAUCGAAGAGGAAAUCGAAACCCUCGACGUAAAACCUCUCCUCCACCCUCCAAGCGGUCAAUAAUCCACUAGAAAAUGAAGUUGGGCUAUAUGAACAACAAUAGACCCUCCAAGUCUAAUCUACCCAGGUACUUAAGCCCUCUAAGCUUCUUGUUCCAACGAGGUUACGCCGAAUAUUUGUCUUUUCUAGCUUACCAGAUUCCGCUAUAACCCAUAGUAUCAACUAAUAACCAUUGGUCCCUUCUUAACUGCUUCCUAAAGCACCAAAUAGCAUUCUCAUAGAUGUAGGUAUGGUGAGAAAAGGAUUUGGGUAAAAACCUCUCAAGGAUGUAACAAUGGAGAGAAAAAGAGUAGAGGGAUUUGAAGAGUCUCUAUGUAAAGAUUGUGGAUGAAUCAAUCUUGUUUUUCUAUAGGGUUUCUCUCUCAAAAUUCUCUCUAGAAGCUUUCUACAUUUUGUGGGUUUAAAGGAUAUUUAUACUUGGGUGAGAAAGGAAUGCGAAAAGUCAGUUUUUCCCAAACAUGGUGGUCUGGCGCUUGGCUUUGCGACUUGACUAAGUCGCGAGAUAACAGAACGGCCAGGCUGGACUUUUUGUCCUGCAGUGCUCCAGCUCGUGCGACUAUUCAUCUUCUCGCACGCUUCACUCGUGUGCUACAUUUGGCAGCUUGCCAGUCGCGAGUCACCCGCGAGUCCCAACUGUGAAUCUCUGCAUCCUUGCAUAAUCUUGAGCAUUUCUUCAUACUCUCUCACUCACUACCCUUACAUGAUUCCCACCUAAAUACAGGAUUACUAAUUACUAAAUUACAAGCAAAUUUGGCACAGAAUAAAACCAAUACAAUGGUUGAUUAAAUUCAACCUUACAACAAGGCAUAGACUCCAAUUGUUAGACUUAAAUCAUUCAAAGUAUUUACCCUAACAUCAAAACCUCAACACUUUAUAAGUAGUUCCCACAAGAUUUACACCACAUCAACAAGAGACUCAUGAUACCAAAAAUCACAAUAUCCUCCAAGACUAACAAUUCAAAUUUUUAACUAGCUCCAAAUAAACAAUAAUAAUUAUACUUACCAUCUAUUUCACAUUAGAAAGCCAAAACCCCCAAAUCUUUACCAUGGGUAAACCUCAAAUUGCUACCAUUGUACAAAAUUCAAAAACAAUUCACUAGAUAUGUCCACCAAAACAAAACCCAUAUACAUUAACACAUGAAUAUCAAUACCAAAACUUAGAUUAGAAGAAUCUCUAGCAAAAACAUAUAAACCCACCAAAAAUAUUAGAAAUUUUUACCUCAAAUUAAAGAUGUGAAGAUGCAAACGUUCCUAAGAAGUUUUUCUGGUGAUAUUGCCAGAAAAAUGAUUGUAAAGAUGGUGGUGUGGAGUGGCUACCGGUGGGAAUGUGUGGGAGUGAAAAGAGUAUUGUGUUUGUGAGAAAAGAAAAGAAAAGAGAGCAAAGUGAGGUAUGGCCGGCCAAAGAGGAGUGAGAUAUUUUGUGGUAGGGAAUUAAAGCACGGGUUGUGUUUGAUGUUGGCAGUGGUCCCUUGUGUGGCGAUGAUGUCACAGAUACUAUUGCAAGAAUGUUCCCUACAAUAUCAUUGCUGACAAUGCUGUUUCUGACAACAUUGGUUUGGCUCGAGCUAAUGUAGAAAGAACUACACUUGAUGCAAUGCACAUUGCUAAGAAAGACUUGCAAGAAGGGGACUUCAUAGAUGAUAAUGACUUUAUUGAUGAUGAAGUCAAUGAUGAGGACUAUAGCGACAAUGAGUACAAUGACGAUUAG